rnacentral:lncRNA from 1 species
CACGUGGCAUCUUUACAGAUCUAUCAACUAGUUACAAAAUAACCAACAUAGAUUUCAGUUCUCCUAUCUCAAAUUUUUCGUAGACUGAGGUUGGAAGUAGGUUGACAGUAGCUUCUAAGUCUAACAAGGCUUGGUCAAAGAUGAUACCUCCUAUAACACAUGAAAUCAAAGGAGCAUCAGGAUCUUUCAUUUUCUAAGGUAAUGGAUUCAACAUGACUGCACUAACAUCCUCAGACAGCAUAAUUCUCUUUGUGGUUCCUGACUCA